rnacentral:rRNA from 1 species
UACGUAGGGUGCAAGCGUUGUCCGGAAUUAUUGGGCGUAAAGAGCUCGUAGGCGCUUGUCACGUCGGCUGUGAAAACCUGGGGCUCAACCCCGGGCCUGCAGCCGAUACGGGCAAGCUAGAAUUCGGUAGGGGAGACUGGAAUUCCUGGUGUAGCGGUGAAAUGCGUAGAUAUCAGGAGGAACACCUGUGGCGAAAGCGGCUCACUGGACCAUAACUGACGCUGAUGCACGAAAGCUAGGGGAGCAAACAGG